rnacentral:rRNA from 1 species
UACGAAGGGGGCUAGCGUUGCUCGGAAUCACUGGGCGUAAAGCGCACGUAGGCGGAUCUUUAAGUCAGGGGUGAAAUCCUGGAGCUCAACUCCAGAACUGCCUUUGAUACUGGGGAUCUCGAGUCCGGAAGAGGUGAGUGGAACUCCGAGUGUAGAGGUGAAAUUCGUAGAUAUUAGGAAGAACACCGGUGGCGAAGGCGGCCCACUGGUCCGGUACUGACGCUGAGGUGCGAAAGCGUGGGGAGCAA